rnacentral:lncRNA from 1 species
GUGAGGGGCAGUGACACAGCUGUCAUGUAGAUGAGUUCUAAGAUCUCAUCUUCCCGCUGAAAGACAGACAGACAUACAAAUGUGUCUACCUGUCCCCAGGGAGGGAGAAGAAAUGACAGGAAGGUCUUGUGGAGUGAAAGUCACACCCUGAAGUCACUUUUCCAGCCUUCCUCCACGACUCGGGAGGAAACUAACUUUGAGUGUCUUCUUCAAGGUUAAGCUCACCGGGGGAGUGGAUGGAACCUGGCCAGAGGCGGUGAACUUCUCACAGAGGGCAUCCUCAGACUCGCCCUCUGCUCAGUGGAUCACUGCCCUCCCAUUACUCUGCCAGCACGUACCUGAUUUGGUGCACAUUUCCAUAAUUAAUUUAUAACAGCAAUAACCCCGAGAUGAGCCUAUGUAUAGGUUUGUGCAAGCUGGGUAAGAAUAUAGAUUAAAUCUCGGGUCAUUAACAAACUUUAAGUACUUGGGAGAGUUUUGUGAUUUGAUAAUAAUAUGAUUAAAAGGCCUCUAUCCUUGAUACAUAUUGGCAGUCCACAAGUUUACUUCCCUUCCCAAGCUUAGAAACAACGAAAUAGCAGAAUAAUGAGCAUACCACCCUCCCAACCACCAGAGAGCUUGUGUUGUCACUGGGAAACGACUUGUCG